rnacentral:rRNA from 1 species
AUUGAACGCUGGCGGCAGACCUAACACAUGCGAGUCGAGCGGAUGAAGGGAGCUUGCUCCUGGAUUCAGCGGCGGACGGGUGAGUAAUGCCUAGGAAUCUGCCUGGUAGUGGGGGAUAACGUCCGGAAACGGGCGCUAAUACCGCAUACGUCCUGAGGGAGAAAGUGGGGGAUCUUCGGACCUCACGCUAUCAGAUGAGCCUAGGUCGGAUUAGCUAGUUGGUGGGGUAAAGGCCUACCAAGGCGACGAUCCGUAACUGGUCUGAGAGGAUGAUCAGUCACACUGGAACUGAGACACGGUCCAGACUCCUACGGGAGGCAGCAGUGGGGAAUAUUGGACAAUGGGCGAAAGCCUGAUACAGCCAUGCCGCGUGUGUGAAGAAGGUCUUCGGAUUGUAAAGCACUUUAAGUUGGGAGGAAGGGCAGUAAGUCAAUACCUUGCUGUUUUGACGUUACCAACAGAAUAAGCACCGGCUAACUUCGUG